AUGAACACCACCCAAAACAGUAUCAUCAUCACCACAAGCAUACAAACGCAAAUCCCCAACCCAAUGUAUCCACGCGCAAGCAACAACCCAUUACCAUCUACUUCAUCUUCAUCAAUUAUACCACCUCCAACGCUAACCUUCCGCCCUCAUCAACCCAGCAACACCAUCGUAACUCACAGAUAG